rnacentral:rRNA from 1 species
CACUCCUGCGGGAGGCAGCAGUGGGGAAUAUUGCACAAUGGGCGCAAGCCUGAUGCAGCCAUGCCGCGUGUAUGAAGAAGGCCUUCGGGUUGUAAAGUACUUUCAGCGGGGAGGAAGGCGAUAAGGUUAAUAACCUUGUCGAUUGACGUUACCCGCAGAAGAAGCACCGGCUAACUCCGUGCCAGCAGCCGCGGUAAUACGGAGGGUGCAAGCGUUAAUCGGAAUUACUGGGCGUAAAGCGCACGCAGGCGGUCUGUCAAGUCGGAUGUGAAAUCCCCGGGCUCAACCUGGGAACUGCAUUCGAAACUGGCAGGCUAGAGUCUUGUAGAGGGGGGUAGAAUUCCAGGUGUAGCGGUGAAAUGCGUAGAGAUCUGGAGGAAUACCGGUGGCGAAGGCGGCCCCCUGGACAAAGACUGACGCUCAGGUGCGAAAGCGUGGGGAGCAAACAGGAUUAGAUACCCCUGUAGUCCCAUGAU